rnacentral:snoRNA from 1 species
ACGACCUUACUUGAACAGGAUCUGUUCUAUAGGCUCGUACCAUUGUAUCCUUGAUUUCUAAGGAGACAGGAAUUCAAGUCUGGUUGAUGAAGCAUGGCCAUGUGACCAGAGCGUGAUUAACAGCUAUCCAUGGUUUCUCAGCUCUGGUUGCAGUAGAUGAUCGUUCUUGGAUCUGAUUUCAGGCCCAGGAUGGUCCCAUGGCUGUCUGACAGACU